AAGUCGUAACAAGGUUUCCGUAGGUGAACCUGCGGAAGGAUCAUUAAUGAAUCAACUCGACGCUCUUUUUUAAGAGGUCGGACCCUUUCAUUUUCCUUAACACUGUGCACUCUACUACUUUUUAUCACACCAUUUUUUAUUAAACACUAUAGUCUAAGAAUGUAACACCAAGUCUCUUAGUUGAGCAAAAAGUUAAUACAAAACUUUCAACAACGGAUCUCUUGGCUCCC
rnacentral:misc_RNA from 1 species